UACGUAGGUGGCAAGCGUUGUCCGGAAUUAUUGGGCGUAAAGCGCGCGCAGGCGGUCCUUUAAGUCUGAUGUGAAAGCCCACGGCUCAACCGUGGAGGGUCAUUGGAAACUGGGGGACUUGAGUACAGAAGAGAAGAGUGGAAUUCCACGUGUAGCGGUGAAAUGCGUAGAGAUGUGGAGGAACACCAGUGGCGAAGGCGACUCUUGGUCUGUAACUGACGCUGAGGCGCGAAAGCGUGGGGGAGCGAACAGG
rnacentral:rRNA from 1 species